rnacentral:rRNA from 1 species
CCUACGGGAGGCAGCAGUAGGGAAUUUUCGUCAAUGGGCGCAAGCCUGAACGAGCGAUGCCGCGUGAGUGAAGAAGGCCUUCGGGUCGUAAAGCUCUGUUGCGGGGGAAAAAAGGCAGCAUCAGGAAAUGGGUGCUGACUGAUGGUGCCCCGCCAGAAAGUCACGGCUAACUACGUGCCAUCAGCCGCGGUAAUACGUAGGUGGCGAGCGUUAUCCGGAAGGAUUGGGCGUAAAGGGUGCGCAGGCGGUCCUGCAAGUCUGGAGUGAAACGCAUGAGCUCAACUCAUGCAUGGCUUUGGAAACUGGAGGACUGGAGAGCAGGAGAGGGCGGUGGAACUCCAUGUGUAGCGGUAAAAUGCGUAGAUAUAUGGAAGAACACCAGUGGCGAAGGCGGCCGCCUGGCCUGUUGCUGACGCUGAGGCACGAAAGCGUGGGGAGCAAAUAGGAUUAGAUACCCUUGUAGUC